CUAUUUUUCUUAUUCUCCAUCUCUGCCCCAGAAACAUAAAAAAACCCAAACACGUGAUGAUUCCACUUCGUCUUCUCCGAUUUCCUCUAUCCAAUCUCAUUUACUAAACUUAUCUGCAUCAAUCAAUUGUGCUCUUCAAUACCUUCUUUAAGAAAUCGUUUCGCAUCCCUUUCUUUCUCCUUCUUUGUAAACCAUAUUCUUCAUAUGUUGUCAUAAGUUGCAUCCAUUCAAGGAAGUCACCGAAAAAAGGAUCGUUGGUUGUACGGCUGUGCCUAGACACAAGGCGUGAUCGACAACAAAAUUCACGAGUUUGAGGUUUCAAAGGCACAAUUCAUCACCAUCCUUAGGAGGAGUCCUUUAUUAUAUCAGGGAAUGCUUAUCGCUUCAGACUGUCUAACUUCUAGGAAAUCAAUUACUCCCUGACAUAUUUUAUUGAUACAUGAGUAUACUGAUAUGCAGGUUCAAUACAUAUUGCACCGUGAGUUUACAAUUUUUUGAAUAUAAGUUCGUGACUAAUUGGAUUAUCAUGAGAGCAUCUAAAUAUCCAAGAUGAGAUUCUUUCUCAUGUUACUUUUUCUUCUUCAAUUUUUCUGGUUCCAUGGACAAUUCUAUAAAAGAUUUUGAAGAUCUUACAAAUUUCAGAAGGGAGGAGGAUCGUAUGUGUGACUUCAGGCGGAACUACGGUUCGGUUGGAGCAACGGCUCGGUUGGAGCAACGAUGGGUAAGAGUGUGCGGCCGGCGAGAAAAUGAUUGUCUAACUCCAUGUCAUGAAUCUUUCUCUAUCUUUUUGGAAAGAACAUGCACCGUAGCUUCUGGAUGUGAUCAUGAGUUCUGACCUAAGCACCAUAAAUCAUAAACACCACAGGCCACACCAGGGUCAUACACGUGCCCUCUUUCCCUCUCUCUCAACGACAUUGUCUCUUUCACCGAACUUUCCAAUACAACAACAAGAAGACCAGCAACGUCAUCAAAAACAGAAGCUUAUGUGUCUUCUACUCUAUAUAAGUUAGAGGAGCAGAGAGUUGGUGUACCUGUUAAGAGUUGGGCUAUAUGAGCAGAGCCGGCCCUGGGCUAAAGCCCAUAAAGCCAGGGCUUUAGGCGCCAAUAUUUGGAUAUAUUUUAGGGGCACCAGAUAUUGAACAAAUAUGUCUCACUAGCCCAGUGGUUAAGUUUUGUUCAUAUUUCCUUCCUGCGUCCAUCAACAGUUAGAGCCUUGAUUCUUCUUUUUUUUUUUUUUUUCUUUUUGACAAUAACUUAAAUCUGACAGAUUUAGAUUCCUUUAUUGAUAAUCUUAGUUUCCAUGUUUAUAUAAUUAUAUAAUAAGAUCAUAUAUAGUAGUCAUUAUAAAAUAAAACAAAUCAACUAAAAAAAUCUUAUUUCCUUUUCUAAACUCAUGUUUUUUUCUUCUACUAGUUAUCUUCUUUUUCACUUAAUUAUUUUUUGUAUCUUUAAAAACUAAGAAUAAAGAUGAUAUUUAUUUUUGGAUUCA